ensembl:lncRNA
GGGGUCUUGAGCGCUGUGAAGCGCGGGUGGAAGGGGAGUGGGGGUCGAUGGAUGAGGUAGGAUGGAGUGGGAGAUGAAGGAAGGUGUUCCUACAGGUGUCCAGUCUCAGGCACGUUGAUGUUGACGUCCUGGAUGGUCUCCUUUUUCUUCUCUUCUGUCUACUAUUUCUUUGCCUCCUUGUCCUGCAUCUUGCGCCUCAUUUUCUCCAUCUCCGUCUGCCGGUCUUGCAUCCGUCUCCCAAAGAUGCCUCUUUUCUUUUUUUUUAAGUCGAGGCAGAUGUUCUCGAGGACUGUUUUGUCGUCCUCUAAAUCCUGGAUCCUGGUGAUAAGGAUCUGAUUUUCCUGUCGGAUCUUUGAGAUCAGGAAACCACUGCUUGUGACCAUCUCGUGGUGGGUCUCCUCUUGGCUCUUUUUAAAAGCAGCCAGAGAAUCCCUCUGGGUCUUUAGCAGUUCAUGUUCUGCUUCCAGCUGCUGCCAGGUCUGCUUGUUGACCGUGAUUUCCGCAGUUUUGACAGUGAGUUGUUCUUUGGUCUCUGUGAGCUUCAGCGAUAAACCCCCGUUCUCCCGGAUAGUCUCAGCCAGAGCCUCUGACUGGAUCUUCAGCAGUUUGUGUUUUUCUUCCAACUGGUGGUUGUUGGCCUGCUGCUUGUGCAGCUCCUCUUUAAGAGAAACGUUAGUGGAGAGUAACCCUGUUACUUUAGACUCCAUGGACUGUUGUUGGUGAUCCAGUUCCUUGAAUGUCUUUUCCUCCAGUUCUUCAUACUUCUGCUGCCAGGUGUGUUUGUUGACCGUGAGUUCAGCCGUUUUGACAGUGAGUUGUUCUUCUGUCUCUCUGAGCUUCAGAACUAAAUGGUUGUUCUGCUCAAUAAGAUUCCUGACCUGGAUCUGGUGGUCUGAAAGCAUUGUUUUGUGCUCGCAAACCAUCUGGUCAAAGGCCAGAUCUUUGCCUUCUAACUGGCGGCACAAAUUGGCCUUCUCAGUUUCAAUGUAGGCAUUGAGUUCGCUCACUUGCCUUUUCAGGCAGUGCACUUCAUUGUUGGCUCGAGAAAGUGCAACACUCACAUUGUAUCCAGUCGGAGGACGUCCAGGGAUUAAAGGGCCAGCUCCAGCUCUCUGGUUGUUUCCGCGGUACAUGGUGAAUACUUGUAUAGCCUUGAAAAAGACUGUUGGUCAGCCCUGAAAAGGGGUGUAGUCUUGAAAAAGACUGGUGUUUUAUUUGUCGCUAAAUGACUCGAUGUAACCUUUGAAAAAUGGUGGUAAAUCUUCAAAAAAACUACUUAAGUGUGUAAAGGACAAAAAUCGUAGAUACUUUUGAGAGAAAAUAUCCAGCUGCACUCUUAUAGAACCAGAAACGCAAUGAUCUAGUGUUCCGAGACACAUCAAAGACUCUUGUUGAUGUCAUUCCGUUGCCAUGGAACUGAUCGCCCGAACAAAAACACUUGUUGAUGAUGUGUAUAUAUAUAUAUAUAUAUAUAUAUAUAUAUAUAUAUAUAUAUGAAAGACCUCCACCAGAAUACUUUCAACAAGGUUUAAAUCACAUAAACAGAAAUAGAAGUAUUGCAAAUUACGAUCAUGGUUAUAGCAAAGCAGACUGGAGAUGAAGUAUAUUUAAAAAAUAUUAAGCAACCAUGUGUCUAUCAGACAUUUUUCACAAGUGUUUCUAACAACAUGGAUGCUGACUCUUAUUCUCAGUCUGUCUAUUAGGACGGCCUCACGGCGCAGUCUUCUGUUUUUAAUGAUAAAAGAAUAUAAUUUACCACUAAAGUCAGCAGCAGGCCAAAAUAGUUACAGAUAACACCAGGAGGUAAAGAAGUUCCAAUGAUGCAAACCAAGGCUUUGUGUUAGUUUCUUAUGUGUGUGAAGUGUGUCUCACUAUGGAGAAACACAGAUGUUAUGGAUCAUCUCUUCUAAAUACAGUUUCUGAUUCAGAUCCAUGAACGCAGCUCCCAUAAUCUAACUUUGAUCUUAAUGCAGCUACAUAACACAUCUGACCCUACGAGGAUCAUUUUACACACUUUAAAAGGGUUCUCUUCAUGAAUAUAAAUAUUGUACAUUGCAUCGAUUAGCAUAUUAAUAUAUUACUUUGGUAAUGACAACAGUUUUUCAUUGCACUUUUAAUGUGUUGCUGUCCUCAACCUGCGUUCCCUCUUGGCAGGAACAGACAGCUAGCUUACACUUUCCUUUAUGAAUAAAGAUGAACUACCAGCCUUGAUUUUCAUAUGUGUAAUGUUUUCAUCCUCUGCAUUUAUUCAUGCCGGAUUGAUCAUUGUCAAACUGGAACAGACAAAACAAAGGGUACAUAAAUACCACGUAAAACAACGUGGCACCAGGAUAACAUGACACAGAGAGCUAGCAUAGUUUAGCUGCUAUUUUCCAGCGGAGAAUUCAGUGACAUAAAUUCAACAUACUUUCGAAAUUGUCUAAAUCUUUACAACAACACAAAACAUGCACUCACAGACGAAUAAUGUCCGAAGGCUCUUCCAGGAGGAAUUCAGCUGCGACCAACAACAGCGGGUUCUCUCCAUGAAGUGAACCGAGCCUCGUGUGGCCGCUCCACUAGGCGGCUGCAUUUACUCACGUGUAACUACUCAAGUCACUACAUGUAUGGUGGGCAUGUCACACCUUCUGUUUUCUAUAAUGACAUGAGGUGAUUCUUCCACUGUUUGUGUUUGUUUUUAUUGAUUUGGAGGGACAUCAUAUUCACUUUAGUGCUCUACACAUGAUGUGUUGGUCUUCAAUGGAGCAUGUCCAAGUCAUGUGCUUCAUUUGAAUGAAAGAAAAGAAAAAAAGAUAGUCUCAAGAAUAAACAAGGAAAUUGACAAUUUCUGUACAUUCUACUCCUUACAUUUUAAAAACAGCCUCGUUACUUCCGGCUUGUCGCAGCUCAAAAACAAACACAAGAAAACCCUAUCCAGAUCAAUGGCGCUAUGCGGACAGUGAAUGUGAUUGUGUUUAGAUGAGAAUAUAAACAUUUAGCAUCCAGACACCCAAUUGGUUUUCUCCGCGAUGUGCAGAUCGGAGCGACGCCGAGUGGGAAAAGUGGUGGAAAGUUGGUAUUUACCCUCACCUAGCGGGAUGGGGUGGGAGAAGAUUUGUCAUGUGUGACCCUUUUUUACAGCGUUCAGUCCCCAAACAACCAACAAUAAAAGUGAUAAGUAAAACAUAUAAAGUUGUUCUACCCACGCUUUUGUAGUAAGAGUAAUUUAAAAAUGCAUAACAACAAUGCAUCAUUAGAAAAAUCUGAAUUGGCUCUUCAGGUCCAUAUUUUUGCAUCACUAGAAAUAUUAUUGAUGUAUUUUCAACGAUGCCUCUUACCUGUCAGCAGGAAAGCAUCCUGAAGGAACUCCAGAGCUGUGAAUGGAGCUACCAGAGCUGCUGUCUCCAUUAUUGAUAACUUUCACUGGAGAUACAGUAUCAAUGGUGUCUGAAGUAUAUAGAGGGACAACACAUAACUAUUUGUUAAAGACGAUGGUUGAUGAAUACAACAAAACAGACGGGGUUGACCGGCAUUUGAAAUAUUACAAUGUUAAGUCCAUAUUGAGUCACUAUUAACUUUCCAGUUAGCCGGUGCUGCUAGCUUGUUUUGCUAUCUUUGUCUUAUUAGUCGUGUAUGAAUCCAUCAAAGUGCCUUUGUUCGGCCCCCCGAUGCUCGCACACAUUACAUUAAGCCUCAAACCAAAAAUAAACGUGCCAUAAAUCUGCAUUAAAUCCGAUGUAUUAGCAUCCACGAUCACAGUACCCAUGUGUGAUGUGCGGAUUGAUACUGAAACAUCGAUACUUCCGAUACCAGAUCUGUAUGCUCUAAAAUCAAUUUUUAAAUGAAAAUAUCGAUACUUUUGAUACUUCAUUAGUUUGUGGUAAUGUAUAUCAUUAACAGGAAUUUGGUGGAAAGUAACUAAACUAUUCAGGUCUUGUCUAAAUGACACGCCGCUGGUAGGGACUACUUUUUCACUGGGUAAGUGACUAAUACGUAAACGCAGCGGCACGGCGCUGCUGCUCGCUCUCUCAGAAAGAGAGAAUGGCGGAACGGAAGAGAAGUCAUGUGUGCAAACAGCCAGGAUGCAUUGUGUGGCAUCUGUGGGAAAACCGUGAGUUGUGGAAACACAACCAACCUAGUGAAACACUUACGAACAAACCACAACACUGAAUAUGAGACAUUUGCGCAGAGGCGGACAGAAGAGCGGCAGCAGAGUAUGUCAGGUGCUCGGGCAAGGCAGACGUCUCUGGUGGAGUCCGGUGCUGCAGGUCGACAUUACCCAGGUACAGAGAGAGAAAAUGCGGAUCUUUAAGCGCCGCUAAGCACUGUUGCUGUUUGAGUUGUAAUGAAUAUGGUUUUGAGAUAAGUAACAAAAAUCAAUACAUGCUUCAACAAAUAGCUGCCUGACUUCAGCUUGGAGUAAUACCCUAAUAUGUGUAUCACUGAGAUAAUCUCACAUAUAAAGCCUAGAUUUAUUCAGGGAAGGUUUCCUAAAAUAUUGAUCAUUUAAAGUGGAUUACAUAGACUAGGUGUCAUUAAAUAAUACAGGAUAACUGCGAUAAAACAGCCAGGGUGAAUUUAGAAAAAUAUAUAGCCUAUUGGAAAAGAUGGUUACAAAAAUAACCUUUUAUCUAUAUAUUUUUUAUUAUUUACAAAGAGUAAUUUGCUUUAACUGUUAAAUAAAUAUUUUAACAUGUUGGUAUUGACAAACUUGUGGCAUCGAUUUAAUUAAAUAUUUUACUGGCAAUUCUUGAGUCACCCAGAAUUAUAAAACAGCAGUGUUUGUAUCCCCUUAUUCUAGGCUAUUUGGAGAGACAUACAUGCAUACAUAUGCACACAUACAUAGUUGAAACAAAAUAAGAUUAAGAUUUCAGUACAGUGUAGCCCCCUUGUUAAUUUUGUGCUGUGAUUUUAAAUCGUUUAAAGAUGAUUCCCCAAGAGCAGCAAUACUCACAAGAUGCCUGGGAGAGAUGAUUGCAAAGGAUCUCCAGCCUCUGUUGUCCAAGGAUUUGUGAGAGCUCUUGACCCAAAAUAUAAACUCCCAGGAAGAAAGAAACUGACAGAGACCCAUCUUGUAGAAAUGUUUGAUGAAUGCAAAGGCAAAGUAAGGGCAUCUUUGCAAAAUGCUUCUAGUGUUGUACUUACCACUGAUAUGUGGACCUCGGUGUCCACAGAGGCAUAUUUGACCGUAACAUGUCAUCUCAUUGAAAACUGGGAAAUGAGGGAUUUUGUUUUGGAAACCCAAACUUUCAAUGGGCAGCAUACAGGUGACAAUAUCAGUUUAGCGCUUAAACGCAUCGCAGAAAAAUGGGGCAUAACUGACAAGGUUGCUGCAGUAGUGACAGACAAUGGUGCAAACAUGGUUGCUGCAGUACACAAGGCUGGAUGGAGGCACUAUCCAUGUUUUGCACAUACACUGAAUUUGAUCGUAAAGGACAGUUUAAAAACUGUCCCGGAAGUGGUGAAAGUGCUGGAAAAAUGCGCCCGUGUCCUUUUUUCACCACAGCACACAGGCCACCGAGAAGCUCGGGGCUGUUCAGCAACAGUUGAAAGUGGCAGAGCACAAGCUAAUCCAGUCAGUAGCUACUCGCUGGAAUUACGUUUUUUACAUGCUGGAGAGGCUCUUUGAGCAAAAGGAAGCUGCGACCACAGCCCUCUGCCUUUUAGGGAGGAACACAUUGUGCUUAGAUGAGGGAGAAUUAUCCCUCAUCAAGCAAACAGUUGAUGCACUACGGCCAUUUCAAGAAGUGACACGAGAGGUUUCAUCUGAAAAGUAUGUUUCAGUCUCCAAAGUGAUUCCGCUUGUGUCACUUAUUCACAGGGCUGUAGCAGCCUGUGAACGUCAAGGCAGCUCCCUUGCCACACAACUGGCACAGCAAUGUCAGCGCAGAUUCAUGGGUAUUCGAUGUUAGAUUUAAACAUGUUGGUUUUCGAGACAAAGACAAUGUGGAGGUAAUGAAAAAGCGUCUCCUUUCUGAAAUACAGGAAGUCUAUCAGACAGGACAGGCAGCUCCCAGUUUAGCCCCAAGCUCAACAGCUACUGUUAGCUCUACCUCAGGGCCUUCUUCCUCUGGGCCUUCUGCCUCAGAGCCAAACCAGAGUCCUGCCCCCUCAGGUUCAGCUGCAUUAAAAGGAGGCAUAUGGACUGAUUUUGACAUGCAGGUUUUGUCAGGACAACAUCGCCGGUCAGCUACCAGCAAUGUGCUCAUUGAAGUACGUCGGUACUCAGAAGAAAAAGUGAUUCCCAGAGACAGGGAUGCACUGGUUUGGUGGAAAGAACAUGACCAAACCUUCCCAGCCCUGAGCAAACUAGCAGUGAGAUACCUGGGAAUUACUGCCACUUCUGUACCAGCAGAGAGUCUUUUCAAAGGCAGGAGAGGUUUUUAGUGAUGGAAACACCUUUUUCAAACACUCCAGGACUCCUGGCUCUCAAAGGGGAUUUACAAGGACUGGCUGGUUAAGGAAAUCCACACAGUAAAUUUGCCAGUGUCAAAAAGGCAGUGUCAAACUAUUUUAAUUCUUCCGGAGUUCUUCCAACAAUGGACAGAGUAAAAUUGAACCAGAAAACUUCCAGUGUUGGUGAAAAUAAUCGGAGUUAACAGAGGUUUUACUCUGUCAGUGUUAUUGACUCUCUAAGGCCCUGAUUCAACACUGAUUAGAGCAAGAUACCUUCCAGAGUAUCAC